ACAUGCCUACAACACAUUGUUAAUGCAUCGGAUCCCAUUAUAACUCCAUAUUUAAGUGCGCUCAGGCUAGGGUAGUACUGGGAUGAGUGACAACCUAGGAAGUCCUAGUGUUUUACAUGCC
rnacentral:rRNA from 1 species